rnacentral:rRNA from 1 species
UACGGAGGGGGCUAGCGUUGUUCGGAAUUACUGGGCGUAAAGCGCACGUAGGCGGGGAUGUAAGUCGGGCGUGAAAAUCCCCAGGCUCAACCUGGGGAACUGCACUCGAAACUGCGUUUCUUGAGUAUCGGAGAGGAAAGCGGAAUUCCUGGUGUAGAGGUGAAAUUCGUAGAUAUUCGGAAGAACACCAGUGGCGAAGGCGGCUCACUGGCCC